rnacentral:rRNA from 1 species
UACGGAGGGAGCUAGCGUUAUUCGGAAUUACUGGGCGUAAAGCGCACGUAGGCGGCUUUGUAAGUUAGAGGUGAAAGCCUGGAGCUCAACUCCAGAAUUGCCUUUAAGACUGCAUCGCUCGAAUCAGGGAGAGGUGAGUGGAAUUCCGGGUGUAGAGGUGAAAUUCGUAGAUAUUCGGAAGAACACCAGUGGCGAAGGCGGCUCACUGGACCGGCAUUGACGCUGAGGUGCGAAAGCCUGGGGAGCAAACAGG